rnacentral:lncRNA from 1 species
GUGUUCUAGGGUUUUUUAACCUUUAACAUCGACAUCGAGGCCGCACUACAUCAGAUGAUCAUCAUCUUUCUUGUAUAUGUCUUUUGAUCAGUCUUCAAAUACUCGCCUGUCUUUGAUCAUUGCCGAAUCGUUUUAGGUUUCCAUAUUAAUUAACGCCUGGUUUGUUUUAUUUCAUCUUGAUUCGUUGUAUGUUUGUUAACAUCUACUGAUCAUGUAUCAGUCGAUUAUCUGUAUUGUUGAAGAACUCAUAAUCAUAUGAGUACUUCUAGGGUUUGGUGGUCUUUUCGAGUUGGUUAUAAUUUUCUAAUAAAAUCUUUAGUCACCGUUUUGUCGCUAUAUCUGCAUUCUUGUAUACAUUCCUAAUUGUUGACAUGGUAUCAGAGCUUAUGGCUCUGUUAUCUUCUGUCGAUUACUAGUUUUUGGUUAGAUUCCAUCGAUUUUCAAUUCUAGGGUUCUGUGGUAUAACGAUUAGAUAAGUGUUGUUAUUUUUAGUCCUCUAGUGUUUGAAAUCCUAUUUGAGAAAGUUAUAGGAAUUUAACGAUCGUUCUUGGUCGAAUACUCAAUUGGAAGCUAGGGUUUCUGUGUAGAUAAACCCUUAUUCGAGAGUCAGGGUAGUGUCCAGUUCGUGAUUUGGGGUUCUUGAUAUGGCUACUCUUUUUGUUCUUUGAUUCUCGAGGUUUGUUGACUAUGAUGGAAGAUAAUCUGUGCUGAGUGUGGUGGUCCACUGGUUUUUGAUGCUUUACUCAUCCUGUUGCUGCAUGGUUGAUUCUUUGCAUAUGGCCUUGCGUCGAGGUUCUGAUGCAGUUUCUUAUCUUCUGUCGCUGAAUUCUCUCUAAGGUUUUUUAACUGUUCUUUGGCUGCGAAGUACUUUACUGUCGUGUUGAUGAAAGUGCUGGAUCUGGUUACUAGUGGUGUUUUGUAGCUGGGGCUAGAUUAAAGGCGGGUCAAAAUGUGCAGACGGGUCAAAGCCGGACCGCUAUAUAAAGAGACUCUAAAGUGAGAGAGUUUAUCAUGUUCGUUCCAGAAGUGUUCUAGGGUUUUUUAACCUUUAACAUUGACAUCGAGGCCGCACUACAUCAGAUGAUCAUCAUCUUUCUUGUAUAUGUCUUUUGAUCAGUCUUCAAAUACUCGCCCGUCUUUGAUCAUUGCCGAAUCGUUUUAGGUUUCCAGAUUAAGUAACGCCUGGUUUGUUUUAUUUCAUCUUGAUUCGUUGUAUGUUUGUUAACAUCUACUGAUCAUGUAUCAGUCGAUUAUCUGUAUUGUUGAAGAACUCAUAAUCAUAUGAGUACUUCUAGGGUUUGGUGGUCUUUUCGGGUUGGUUAUAAUUUUCUAAUAAAAUCUUUAGUCACCGUUUGUCGCUAUAUAUGUGUUCUUGUAUACAUUCCUCAUUGUUGACAUUUAUAAACUUUUCCACUAAAUAAUAUGAUAAGUUCAUAUUUAACAGGGCAAUCACAUACUCAAAUUUUGAAGGGGCCUGUCGUGAUGGUACAAUGGUGUAUAUUUUAAUGAGAAAAUACUUCUAAAAAGUAAAAAAGUUUUUGACUCUUUUGGAGUUUGGGGUCAUAUCUUCAUCAAAUUUGCCAUCAAUUUCACAGUUGAAAGCUUUCUUCGUCGACAAAUUCCCCGUCGACAAAAACUUCAUCCAAAAACUAUGCCCCAAAACACAGUCGGUUUCACCGCCACACGCACCACUACAAUGAUGACAACGACUGUUGGCAAGUUGAAGAGAGAAAGGUUAUACAGAGAGAAAGAGAAAGUGGGUGUUGGAUCGUUAUGGUUGAGGUGAGGCGGUGGAGAUCUUUACGGUGGCGAUGGGGGUAUGUGGGUUGAGAUUUGUUGUUGCCUUUUUCCGGCAUAAAGUAGAUCAAACAUUAGUUCUGGAAAUCGAUUUCUUCAAACAUUCAUCUUAUUUCUCCGAUAUCAGAUUUCUUUGGUCGUUUCAUCUUUUAUUCAAAUAAAUUGCAAUUACGCUUUUGUUACCAGGAACUAGGCUUUUACAUUUGGGGGAGCACAGAGAAAACUGAAGAAACUGAUGUAAAAAGCGUAGUUAAUUUUUAGGUUAAGUUGUUAUUGACGAAAAUACCCACAUGUAAGUGUAUUACAAAUUGAAAAGUUAAUACCCCAUUAAGUUACUUUAAACUU